GAGUCCGUCCCUCUGAAGCUCCUCUGUGUGGGGAACAUGACAGCCAGACCAAAGCUCAGAGGACCCAUCAGAGACCAGGACCUGGACCUGAUCCUCAACCUGGUCCGGUGUCUGGACCUGCACCCAGCUGUGUGUCCAUGAAGAGUAACCGGUCUACGGAUGCUCCUGUAGUCUUCAAAGAUGUCCGUCCCACUGUGGAUGCAAGGUCACAUCAGCAGAGAGGAAUGUCUCCUGAACCCAGAUGUUUGUCCAUGAAGAGAGAUCAGUCUCCUCAUCGAUCGAUUAACUUCAAAGAUGAUCAGUCUAUUGGUCGUCUGAUUGACUUCAAAGAUGAUCAGUCUAUUGGUCGUUUGAUUGACUUCAAAGAUGAUCAGUCUAUUGGUCGUUUGAUUGACUUCAAAGAUGGACGCCGUUCUUAUGACCCAGAGUAAGUUCUUAAACAGAUGAAGAACUGAAGAUCCUUAGUUAUGAAUUACAGAAUGUCCGUACAUU